CGAGGUUAACUAUAGUGAUAAAAUGUCUGAUAGAUAUAUAUAGAUAAAAAAAAAUAUGGAUUGAAUUUAAUCAUUUUGCAACCUCAAUCCAUUUUAUAACCUUUUUAGUAUACAAAACUUGUAUAUAAAUUGUGUUUUUUUUUAUUUAUCAGUGACUGAGUCUGUAGUAAUCAAAAACGUCAUCAGGACAACUAAAAUAUGACCCCAA
rnacentral:lncRNA from 1 species